UACGUAGGCAGCAAGCGUUGUUCGGAGUUACUGGGCGUAAAGGGUGUGUAGGCGGUUGCUUAAGUUUGGUGUGAAAUCUCCCGGCUCAACUGGGAGGGUGCGCCGAAUACUGAGUGACUCGAGUGCGGGAGAGGAAAGUGGAAUUCCCGGUGUAGCGGUGAAAUGCGCAGAUAUCGGGAAGAACACCCGUGGCGAAGGCGGCUCUCUGGGACGGUACUGACGCUGAGACGCGAAAGCGUGGGGAGCGAACAGG
rnacentral:rRNA from 1 species